GCAGACCACGAAGAGAGAGAGAGAGAGAGAAGAAGAAGAAGAAGAACGACGAUUACGAAGCGAAGAAGAAGAUCGAUCUAGAGAAGAAGAUCGAAGCAAAACCACCCCAGAUUGAUGAAGAACAAAGACGAACAACAAGGCUUUGGUGCUACUGUGAAUGUUUCCAAAACACUGAAAGGCUCAACAGUGUUUGUUUUUGGAUUGGGAGCAGUAGGCCUAGCAGUGAGUUUCACUAGUUUCAAUCCAUAGUAUUUUGUAGUAUCCUUGUAAGCUACCACCAGUAUUUUGUAGUAUCUUUGUUGUGCCCAUUUUUUGGUGCCUUGAACUAUACAACCUCUCUGGUAGUACACAAUACCGCAUAGUAGCGUUGUCAGCAAUGAACCUUGUGUUGUUUUAGUGAUAAGGUUUAUCUUGUAAUUUGGAAGCUUCUACAACUGGUAUAAAUAUGGUAAUCGUCUGUGUUGCAUCAUUAAUGUAUCUCGGAAGAUUUUGAAAUGGGCAGAAAACCCUUGCGCGCAUAGUUGCCUAAAACUAUAGUUGGAUAUGAACCAUUGCCCAUUUGCAAAAUUGAUGGCAAAACUGUUCUAUGUGUCGUUAUAUUGUUUUCUGUGUUGAAGUUGAC